GAUGAACGCUGGCGGCGUGCCUAAUACAUGCAAGUCGAACGAAGCCUUCGGGCUUAGUGGCGAACGGGUGAGUAACACGUUGGUACCUACCCUCUAGUGGGGAAUAACUGGCCGAAAGGUCGGCUAAUACCGCAUAAUACCGCAAGGUUAAAGCAGCAAUGCGCUAGAGGAGGGGCCUGCGUCCCAUUAGCUUGUUGGUAGUGUAAUGGACUACCAAGGCGACGAUGGGUAGCUGGAUCGAGAGGUUGACCAGCCACACUGGGACUGAGAUACGGCCCAGACUCCUACGGGAGGCAGCAGUAAGGAAUCUUCCACAAUGGACGAAAGUCUGAUGGAGCAACGCCGCGUGCAGGAUGACGGCCUUCGGGUUGUAAACUGCUUUUAUAUGGGAAGAUUAUGACGGUACCAUAUGAAUAAGGACCGGCUAACUACGUGCCAGCCGCCGCCGUAA
rnacentral:rRNA from 1 species